rnacentral:rRNA from 1 species
UACAGAGGGGGCAAGCGUUGUUCGGAAUUACUGGGCGUAAAGGGCGCGUAGGCGGCUACCUAAGUCAGACGUGAAAUCCCUCGGCUCAACCGGGGAACUGCGUCUGAUACUGGGCGGCUUGAAUUCGGGAGAGGAAUGCGGAAUUCCAGGUGUAGCGGUGAAAUGCGUAGAUAUCUGGAGGAACACCGGUGGCGAAGGCGGCAUUCUGGACCGACAUUGACGCUGAGGCGCGAAAGCGUGGGGAGCAAACAGG